GCAGUGGUGGUUUGGUGGUAGAAUUCUUACCUUCCACGCAAGAGACCCAGGUUUGAGGUCUGUGUUUGGAUCCUGGUCAAUGCA
rnacentral:tRNA from 1 species